AUUGAACGCUGGCGGCAGGCCUAGCACAUGCAAGUCGAACGGCAGCACAGAAGAGCUUGCUCUUUGGGUGGCGAGUGGCGGACGGGUGAGUAAUGUCUGGGAAACUGCCCGAUGGAGGGGGAUAACUACUGGAAACGGUAGCUAAUACCGCAUAACGUCGCGAGACCAAAGUGGGGGACCUUCGGGCCUCACACCAUCGGAUGUGCCCAGAUGGGAUUAGCUAGUAGGUGGGGUAAUGGCUCACCUAGGCGACGAUCCCUAGCUGGUCUGAGAGGAUGACCAGCCAAACUGGAACUGAGACACGGUCCAGACUCCUACGGGAGGCAGCAGUGGGGAAUAUUGCACAAUGGGCGCAAGCCUGAUGCAGCCAUGCCGCGUGUAUGAAGAAGGCCUUCGGGUUGUAAAGUACUUUCAGCGGGGAGGAAGGCGGUGAGGUUAAUAACCUUGCCGAUUGACGUUACCCGCAGAAGAAGCACCGGCUAACUCCGUGCCAGCCGCCGCCGUAA
rnacentral:rRNA from 1 species